UUUUUUUUUUUCAAUUUUUUAUUAGAUAUUUUCUUCAUUUACAUUUCAAAUGCUAUCCCGAAAGUCCCCUAUCCCCCCGCCCUGCUCCCCAACCCACCCACUCCCGAUUCUUGGCCCCAGCAUUCCCCUGUACUGGGGCAUAUGAUCUUCAUAUGACCAAGGGCCUAAUGUGAAGCCCCCAUUUUUAGAAUGGCAAUUCUAACCAUAUAGAAGGCAGCUGAGGUGCAAAGAAACAGAACUCUCCUCUCUGACUUAACUACUCACCUGCUAUCGGGUCCCCAAAGCAUCACUAUCUGCCACUGUCACCUGAAGUGCCACCAGGUCUGCGGAUCAUAUGAUCCAAGUGGUAAAGCGGCCUGUACAGCAGCCUGGACCUGUUGAAGAGCCUUCUCCUGUUCCAGACCCCACUCGAAGCUAGCAGCUUUCCUUGUCACUUAGUAUAUGGGCCAAAGUCACACACCUAAGUGAGGAAUAUGCUGUCUCCAGAAUCCAAAUAGGCCUAGUAAAUGUUGUGCUUAUUUCUUAGCAGCAGGACGGGCCAGUGCAACAGCUUAUCCUUCACCUUAGAAGGCAUAUCUCUCCAUGCCUCAUAAUACUGGACUCCUAGAAACUUCACUGAGAGAUAUUCCACCUGAAGCACAGGCUCUACCUGCUCAAGGCUAAUGUUGUCGCGAUCUCUACAAUACUAACUCUACCAAAGGACUGAGCCAUUUGGAGGUAUUUUUAAUUAUGGGUGGAACCCACUGUCAUGAUGGAUUUCAGCUGUGCUUGCUGGUAUAGCCUGCCUACCAAAGAUUAAAAGGAGGCCAGUGAAGAUGAGACAUGCUUUGAAAGCAAGGAGCAAGUUUUAGACACUGUUUCCUGUCAUUCCACAGACGUAAGGGUCAUCAGUGUCUGGGAAAGACCUCCUUUGUACCCAGCAUCAUCAGGCAUCUUGAGAAACAAGGCCAAACAAAAGAUAAACAUCCAUGAUGAAAUGGACUGUGUAUGAUCAACUAUCAAAGUUCCACACAGAGAGGAGCAGCUCACGUGACAUAAUAAUGGGAAGCCUCUGCAGACUGUGAUGUUUCUCAAGUUCUUUGUGAUUUGAUCAUCUGUGCUCUGAAAUUACCUUUGAACAACCUGAACUUUGCUCUAUUUUCUUCUGGCCUGAUUCCCUUUAAACUGAUCCAAAUUUCAACGAAGCACACACACAUACAUUUGUAGACAGUGAGCGGUGGAUGUGUGUGUGUGUGUGUGUGUGUGUGUGUGUGUGUGUUGUAGUCAUUUAAUUUCCACGUCAACAUUCACAGUUCUACAUUCGUCCACGAAAGUCAAAUAAAAAGAAACUCGGAUCACUUUCAGUGUUCUUUGCCUGCCCCCUUUGGCUUGGUGGUCAUAUCAAAGAAUCAUGAAUGGGCAGAGAUU